UACGAAGGGGGCUAGCGUUGCUCGGAAUCACUGGGCGUAAAGGGUGCGUAGGUGGGCAGGUAAGUCAGUGGUGAAAUCUCCGAGCUUAACUCGGAAACUGCCGUUGAUACUAUUUGUCUUGAAUAUUGUGGAGGUAAGCGGAAUAUGUCAUGUAGCGGUGAAAUGCUUAGAUAUGACAUAGAACACCAAUUGCGAAGGCAGCUUACUACACAACCAUUGACGCUGAGGCACGAAAGCGUGGGGAUCAAACAGG
rnacentral:rRNA from 1 species